rnacentral:rRNA from 1 species
UCGGGAAUUUUGGGCAAUGGGCGAAAGCCUGACCCAGCAACGCCGCGUGAGGGAUGAAGUAUUUCGGUAUGUAAACCUCGAAAGAAUGGGAAGAAUAAAUGACGGUACCAUUUAUAAGCUCCGGCUAACUACGUGCCAGCAGCCGCGGUAAUACGUAGGGAGCAAGCGUUGUUCGGAUUUACUGGACGUAAAGGGCGCGUAGGCGGCGCGGUAAGUCACUUGUGAAAUCUCUGAGCUUAACUCAGAACGGCCAAGUGAUACUGCUGUGCUAGAGUGCGGAAGAGGCAACCGGAAUUCUUGGUGUAGCGGUGAAAUGCGUAGAUAUCAAGAGGAACACCUGAGGCGAAGGCGGGUUGCUGGGCCGACACUGACGCUGAUGCGCGAAAGCCAGGGGAGCAAACG